rnacentral:rRNA from 1 species
CGGGAGUAACGCGUGGGCAACCUGCCUCAUACAGGGGAGUAACAGUUAGAAAUGACUGCUAAUACCGCAUAAGCGCACAGCAUCGCAUGAUGCCGUGUGAAAAACUCCGGUGGUAUGAGAUGGACCCGCGUCUGAUUAGGUAGUUGGUGGGGUAACGGCCUACCAAGCCGACGAUCAGUAGCCGACCUGAGAGGGUGACCGGCCACAUUGGGACUGAGACACGGCCCAA